rnacentral:tRNA from 2 species
GCAUUGGUGGUUCAGUGGUAGAAUUCUCGCGUGCCACGCGGGAGACCCGGGUCCGAUUCCCGGCCAAUGCA